rnacentral:rRNA from 1 species
GUCGCACGAAGGUUUCGGCCUUAGUGGCGGACGGGUGAGUAACGCGUAGGAAUCUAUCCGUGGGUGGGGGAUAACUCUGGGAAACUGGAGCUAAUACCGCAUAAUACCUGAGGGUCAAAGGCGCAAGUCGCCUGCGGAGGAGCCUGCGUUUGAUUAGCUUGUUGGUGGGGUAAUGGCCUACCAAGGCGAUGAUCAAUAGCUGGUCUGAGAGGAUGAUCAGCCACACUGGGACUGAGACACGGCCCAGACUCCUACGGGAGGCAGCAGUGGGGAAUAUUGGACAAUGGGGGCAACCCUGAUCCAGCAAUGCCGCGUGUGUGAAGAAGGUUUUCGGAUUGUAAAGCACUUUCGGCGGGGACGAUGAUGACGGUACCCGCAGAAGAAGCCCCGGCUAACUUCGUGCCAGCAGCCGCGGUAAUACGAAGGGGGCUAGCGUUGCUCGGAAUGACUGGGCGUAAAGGGGGUGUAGGCGGUUUGUACAGUCAGAGGUGAAAUCCC